rnacentral:rRNA from 1 species
AUUGAACGCUGGCGGCAGGCCUAACACAUGCAAGUCGAACGAGUGGCGGACGGGUGAGUAAUGUCUGGGAAACUGCCUGAUGGAGGGGGAUAACUACUGGAAACGGUAGCUAAUACCGCAUACCAUCGGAUGUGCCCAGAUGGGAUUAGCUAGUAGGUGGGGUAAAGGCUCACCUAGGCGACGAUCCCUAGCGGGUCGGAGAGGAUGACCAGCCACAUUGGAACUGAGACACGGUCCAGACUCUUACGGGAGUCAGCAGUGGGGAAUAUUGCACAAUGGUCGCAAGCCUGAUGCAGCCAUGCCGCGUGUGUGAAGAAGGCUUUCGGGUUGUAAAGUACUUUCAGCGGGGAGGCGUUACCCUCAGAAGAAGCACCGGCUAACUCCGGGCCAGCAGCCGCGGUAAUUC